rnacentral:rRNA from 1 species
AACAAACGCUGGCGGCGUGCCUAAUACAUGCAAGUCGAACGGGGAAAGUAGCAAUACGAGUACUAGUGGCGCACGGGUGAGGAAUACAUGGGUAAUCUGCCCUCGAGCUCGGGAUAACCAGUCGAAAGACUGGCUAAUACCGGAUAUGACCACAAGAUCUGAGGAUCAAGGGGUAAAAGGUUUUUCGCUUGAGGAUGAGCCCAUGUGGGAUUAGCUAGUUGGUGUAGGUAACGGCUCACCAAGGCGACGAUCCCUAACUGGUCUUAGAGGAUGAUCAGUCACACUGGAACUGAGACACGGUCCAGACUCCUACGGGAGGCAGCAGUAGGGAAUAUUGCACAAUGGAGGAAACUCUGAUGCAGCGACGCCGCGUGAGUGAUGAAGGCCUUCGGGUCGUAAAGCUCUGUCGUAUGGGACUAACAAAUAGAAGGUACCAUGCAAGAAAGGAUCGGCUAACUUCGUGCCAGCAGCCGCGGUAAU